rnacentral:sRNA from 17 species
CUGGUACAAUUUUCAGGUCAUUGGGGAGUAGCCACUCUUUAUCACAAAGAGGCUUACAUCAACAUACUUGACCCACAGGUCAUGGUGUAGGCAGCCCUUCGCCUGGCAAGACCUUUGACUGCGAUGCUUCCACUAGGCCGGAGAUGUAUCGUGGUCAAUCGUCUUUUCCGGCCAGGAAAUUC